rnacentral:rRNA from 1 species
UACGGGGGGUGCGAGCGUUGUCCGGAUUCACUGGGCGUAAAGGGCGCGUAGGCGGCCCCGUCAGUCAGUCUUUUAAGAGCGGGGCUCACCCCCGUGGGGGGAUCGGGACGGCGGGGCUGGGGCGCGGCAGAGGGAUGCGGAAUGCCGGGUGUAGUGGUGAAAUGCGUAGAUAUCCGGCGGAACACCGGUGGUGGAAGCGGCAUCCUGGGCCGAGGCCGACGCUGAGGCGCGAGAGCGUGGGGAGCGAACAGG